AAAUUGAAGAGUUUGAUCAUGGCUCAGAUUGAACGCUGGCGGCAGGCCUAACACAUGCAAGUCGAACGGUAACAGGAAGCAGCUUGCUGCUUCGCUGACGAGUGGCGGACGGGUGAGUAAUGUCUGGGAAACUGCCUGAUGGAGGGGGAUAACUACUGGAAACGGUGGCUAAUACCGCAUAACGUCGCAAGACCAAAGAGGGGGACCUUCGGGCCUCUUGCCAUCAGAUGUGCCCAGAUGGGAUUAGCUAGUUGGUGAGGUAACGGCUCACCAAGGCGACGAUCCCUAGCUGGUCUGAGAGGAUGACCAGCCACACUGGAACUGAGACACGGUCCAGACUCCUACGGGAGGCAGCAGUGGGGAAUAUUGCACAAUGGGCGCAAGCCUGAUGCAGCCAUGCCGCGUGUAUGAAGAAGGCCUUCGGGUUGUAAAGUACUUUCAGCGGGGAGGAAGGUGUUGUGGUUAAUAACCGCAGCAAUUGACGUUACCCGCAGAAGAAGCACCGGCUAACUCCGUGCCAGCAGCCGCGGUAAUACGGAGGGUGCAAGCGUUAAUCGGAAUUACUGGGCGUAAAGCGCACGCAGGCGGUCUGUCAAGUCGGAUGUGAAAUCCCCGGGCUCAACCUGGGAACUGCAUUCGAAACUGGCAGGCUUGAGUCUUGUAGAGGGGGGUAGAAUUCCAGGUGUAGCGGUGAAAUGCGUAGAGAUCUGGAGGAAUACCGGUGGCGAAGGCGGCCCCCUGGACAAAGACUGACGCUCAGGUGCGAAAGCGUGGGGAGCAAACAGGAUUAGAUACCCUGGUAGUCCACGCCGUAAACGAUGUCUACUUGGAGGUUGUGCCCUUGAGGCGUGGCUUCCGGAGCUAACGCGUUAAGUAGACCGCCUGGGGAGUACGGCCGCAAGGUUAAAACUCAAAUGAAUUGACGGGGGCCCGCACAAGCGGUGGAGCAUGUGGUUUAAUUCGAUGCAACGCGAAGAACCUUACCUGGUCUUGACAUCCACAGAACUUUCCAGAGAUGGAUUUGUGCCUUCGGGAACUGUGAGACAGGUGCUGCAUGGCUGUCGUCAGCUCGUGUUGUGAAAUGUUGGGUUAAGUCCCGCAACGAGCGCAACCCUUAUCCUUUGUUGCCAGCGGUCCGGCCGGGAACUCAAAGGAGACUGCCAGUGAUAAACUGGAGGAAGGUGGGGAUGACGUCAAGUCAUCAUGGCCCUUACGACCAGGGCUACACACGUGCUACAAUGGCGCAUACAAAGAGAAGCGACCUCGCGAGAGCAAGCGGACCUCAUAAAGUGCGUCGUAGUCCGGAUUGGAGUCUGCAACUCGACUCCAUGAAGUCGGAAUCGCUAGUAAUCGUGGAUCAGAAUGCCACGGUGAAUACGUUCCCGGGCCUUGUACACACCGCCCGUCACACCAUGGGAGUGGGUUGCAAAAGAAGUAGGUAGCUUAACCUUCGGGAGGGCGCUUACCACUUUGUGAUUCAUGACUGGGGUGAAGUCGUAACAAGGUAACCGUAGGGGAACCUGCGGUUGGAUCACCUCCUUA
rnacentral:rRNA from 1 species